GACGAACCGUCCUAACGUUGUUCGGAAUCACUGGGCUUAAAGGGCGCGUAGGCGGGCAUGCAAGUCCGGGGUGAAAGCUUUCGGCUUAACCGGAAAAGGGCCUUGGAUACUGCAUGUCUAGAGGGAGGUAGGGGUCUGUGGAACUUCGGGUGGAGCGGUGAAAUGCGUUGAUAUCCGAAGGAACGCCGGUGGCGAAAGCGACGGACUGGACCUCUUCUGACGCUGAGGCGCGAAAGCCAGGGGAGCAAACGGGAUUAGAUACCCCGGUAGUCCUGGCCCUAAACGAUGGGUACUAGAUUGCGGACUAAACAUGGGUUCGCAGUCGAAGCAAAAGUGGUAAGUACCCCGCCUGGGGAGUAUGGUCGCAAGGCUGAA
rnacentral:rRNA from 1 species